rnacentral:rRNA from 1 species
AUGCAUAGCCAUGGAAUGGCACAUACUGGCCUGAGGCUGUACAAAUUCAUCGCAAGGUCGGGUCAGUCCCAAAGUUCAAAGAGGAAAAAAUUCAUUUGGAAGCUGGAAAAUACAUUACUCGCGUACUUUAGCACACACUUCUCUAAUAGAAGCCUCUUCCCGCACAUGGAUGCUGAUCAUGAUGAGCUACCAAUCAGUACAGGAGACGGGACCACCAGUGUCAUGGCCCUCUUUAUCAAGGGUGUCGACAACAGGGCUACACUCACAAAGAACUGGAGCAGCUUCCAUAAGGCAAACAUCAAGAAAGGGUGUGCAUAUGCUUUCGCCUUCAAGUGCGCGUCCAAGGGCCUCUGCAUGGUUGUUUAUUCAAUCUAA